rnacentral:lncRNA from 10 species
UGGGUUGUCUCUUAAAUGUCUUUUAACCCCAGAAUGCCUACUCCUUCCUUUUUUGAAAUGACACUUACUGAAGAGCCCUGGCAGUUACGGAAUAUCACAGAUAUUCUGCUCACCUGAUUGUUUCUAAAUGUUAACUUGUGCCUCUACCCCCUCUCCAUUUCCUGUCAGCUGGAGGUCUAGAUGCUUGGUUAGAUUCCAGUCAACAAUUUCUUGGUGAGAUACUGCUGUGUUCUUGGUAUCAUCUUAGGAAGCACAGAAACAUCAGGCCGUCCCAUAAGUGACACUAGGUUUGAUCACUUGAUUAUGGUGGCGGCAGUCAGAUCUGUCAAUUGUGAAGAUUGGUGUUUUCCAAAUUAGGCGUGGUGGCUCACAUCUGCAGUCCCAGCUACUCAGGGGUGCUGAGGUGGGAAGAUCACUUGAGCCUGAGAAGUCGAGGCUGCAGUGAGCUGUGAUCACAUCACUGCACUCCGGCCUGGGGGACAAAGCGAGACGCCCCUCUCUAAAAUAAGUAAAGAUUGAUGUUUUCCUUUUGCAAGUGACCUGUGCAGCAACAUUUGAGUGUUGUGCUAAAAUUCUGUUCCUCAGCAGCCUUUUACCUGAAAGGUUUUGGCAUCCAGUGAUCUUUGCCUGGUCAGUUAUCUCAUUAAUGGGUUAAAAUGUUGGAACCUCUCAUGGCACAUGCUGAGCAGCCAGUAGUCUUCAGGACAAUGGAUUCUCUAGGUAAACUUGUCACCACACUGUUCCAAGUGAGGCUGGAAGACAGUUUGUCAACACCAUAUUUCAGGCUGGAGGUGGAAAGAAGCUGUUGAGGAAACUCCCUUUGCAAGCCCUACUCCCAGCUCCCAGCUGGUGAGACAAUUUACAUGGAAAAACCAUGAAUACAACACAAGAUCUGAAGUGUCUCCACCCUCUAGGCACCUAGGGAAAGCUUGGAUUUGCUUUGGUACACUGUCUAGUUGUACAGGAUCCCUGCAACUAGUAGUCAGACCUGCCUUCCUAACAAACCUGCUGAAAAAGGUAGUAAUAGUUAAUGCAAAGAUGAAAAACACUGGUCUGCCAAAUUAGAAACAACUCCGCAGACCUAACUGGCACUUAUCAUCAUGCACUAUACAUUCAAAUAGGAAAGAACAAAAGAACAUACACAAAAUAUCGGGAACACAUUGUUAACUGUGUCUACAAAGCAGGGUGAGGACAGGGCACGCGGCUCAGGGCCUAUAAUCCCAGUACUUGGCAAGGCCAAGGUGGGAGGAUCGCUUGAGGCCAGGAGUUGGAGACAAGCCUGGGCAACGUGAGACCGUCUCCACAAAAGAAGUUUUAAAAAUUAGCUGGGCAUGGUGGUGAGCUCCUGUAGUUCCAGGGACUUAGGAGGCUGGGGAGGGAGAAUUGCUUGAAGCCAGGAGGUCAAGGCUGCAGUGACCUAUGACGGCACCACUGCAAAAAUAAAGGCAGAUGAAGCUCACAGGUGAAAGUCACUCCACUCUGGGGCUCCAGAAGGCUGAGUCUUAGUCAACAUGACUUUUUUUUUCUUUUCAGAGACAGGGUCUCAUUCUGUCACCCAGUCUGAAGUACAGUGGUACAAUCUUGGCUCACUGCACACCCCGCCUCCCAGGCUCAAGCGAUCCUCCUCCAUCAGCCUCCCGAAUAGCUGGGGCUACAGGCAAGUGCCACCAGGCUCAGCUACUUUUUGUAUUUUUUGUAGAGAUGGGGUUUUGCCAUGUUGCUCAGGCUGGUCUCAAACUCCUGGGCUCAAACGAUCCUCCUGCCUCAGCCUCUCAAAGUGCAAGGCUUAUGGGUGUGAGCCACCACACCCAGUCUUCUACAUGGUUUUUCUGAAAGCUCUGAUUACAUGCUGAAUUUACAAAUGGUGGAAAACAAGGAGUAAUGGUUAAUAAGCUGAAUGGUACAGUACAAAUUACACAAGGAACAAUACAUGAAUUAGAAAUUUAAAAUUUAGUUGAAAUAUAAAAUAAAUUAUUGCCAGAAACACAAAGGGCACAUGAAUACAAUAGGGGAAACAGCUUAAUGGCUUUCUGUUCUCUGAAAACUCAAGGCCCAUCUCUGAGUGAUAAGAGUACCCUAACAGGCAAAGCCCUCUGAGGUCCGGGACCAGGAAGACAGUGCUACUCCACCUACUGGCGGUCUGGCACUAUCUGUAGGCUGGAGUUGGGCUGGGGAUGGUACAUUCAAAAUGGACUUUGGUAAACUAGGGGACAACCCAGACAAACACUGCAGAAAGGAGGAAGGACUCCCUUUCCAGCAUCUCAAAUUCAAGUCUCCAAGAAUAAAGAAAAGAAAGUACUCGUCUUUGGCAAACAGUGGAGAUCUUCUGAACCUUUUUUGAGAUGGAGUUUCACUCAUCGCCCUGGCUGGAGUAGCAAUAGCACAAUCUUGGCUCACUGCAACCUCUGCCUCCCGGGUUCAAGCAAUUCUGCUGCCUUAGCCUCCUGAGUAGCUGGAAUUACAGGUGCCUGCCACCAGGCCCGGCUAAUUUUUUUUUUUUUUUUUAGUAGAGAUGGGGUUUCACCAUGUUGACCAGGUUGGUCUUGAACUACUGACCUCAGGUGAUCCACCUGCCUCAGCCUUCCAAAGUGCUGGGAUUACAGGCAUGAGCCACCGUGCCCGACCGAGUUCUUUUUUUAAUGAAAAGAAUUUGACAUUCCUGCAGUAGAUAUAAGGCAGCAGAAACAGGAACUGUGCAGGCAUGUGUAACAAGAAUGCAGAUGCCAUUUAUU